CGACCCCAGGUCAGACGGGGACU
rnacentral:misc_RNA from 1 species